rnacentral:rRNA from 1 species
UCAGGAUGAACGCUAGCUACAGGCUAACACAUGCAAGUCGAGGGGCAGCAUGUGGUUGCUUGCAACCAAUGAUGGCGACCGGCGCACGGGUGAGUAACGCGUAUCCAACCUUCCCCUUAGUAGAGGAUAGCCCGGCGAAAGUCGGAUUAAUACUCUAUGUUCUUCAAUGCGGACAUCUAAGUUGAAGCAAAGAUUUAUCGCUAAGGGAUGGGGAUGCGUCUGAUUAGGUUGCAGGCGGGGUAACGGCCCACCUGGCCUACGAUCAGUAGGGGUUCUGAGAGGAAGGUCCCCCACACUGGUACUGAGACACGGACCAGACUCCUACGGGAGGCGGCAGUGAGGAAUAUUGGUCAAUGGGCGCGAGCCUGAACCAGCCAAGUAGCGUGCCAGGACGACUGCCCUAUGGGUUGUAAACUGCUUUUACCAGGGAAUAAAGUGAGGCACGCGUGCCUUUUUGUAUGUACCUGAUGAAUAAGGACCGGCUAAUUCCGUGCCAGCCGCCGC